rnacentral:rRNA from 1 species
AACGAACGCUGGCGGCAGGCCUCAAACAUGCAAGUCUAGGGGGUGUAGCAAUACAUCACCGGCGGACGGGUGCGUAACACGUGGGAAUAUACCUUUUGGUUCGGAACAACGCAGGGAAACUUGCGCUAAUACCGAAUGUGCCCUUACGGGGAAAGAUUUAUCGCCAAAGGAUUAGCCCGCGUAGGAUUAGCUAGUUGGUGAGGUAAUGGCUCACCAAGGCUCCGAUCCUUAGCUGUUCUGAGAGGAAGAUCAGCCACACUGGGACUGAGACACGGCCCAGACUCCUACGGGAGGCAGCAGUUGGGAAUCUUGGACAAUGGGGGGAAACCCUGAUCCAGCCAUGCCGCGUGAGUGAUGAAGGCCUUCGGGUUGU